UUGAACGCUGGCGGCCGGCCUCACCCAUGCAAGUCGAACGGUAACAGGAAGAAGCUUGCUUCUUUGCUGACGAGUGGCGGACGGGUGAGUAAUGUCUGGGAAACUGCCUGAUGGAGGGGGAUAACUACUGGAAACGGUAGCUAAUACCGCAUAACGUCGCAAGACCAAAGAGGGGGACCUUCGGGCCUCUUGCCAUCGGAUGUGCCCAGAUGGGAUUAGCUAGUAGGUGGGGUAACGGCUCACCUAGGCGACGAUCCCUAGCUGGUCUGAGAGGAUGACCAGCCACACUGGAACUGAGACACGGUCCAGACUCCUACGGGAGGCAGCAGUGGGGAAUAUUGCACAAUGGGCGCAAGCCUGAUGCAGCCAUGCCGCGUGUAUGAAGAAGGCCUUCGGGUUGUAAAGUACUUUCAGCGGGGAGGAAGGGAGUAAAGUUAAUACCUUGGCUCAUUGACGUUACCCGCAGAAGAAGCACCGGCUAACUCCGUG
rnacentral:rRNA from 1 species